UACGUAGGCAGCGAGCGUUGUUCGGAGUUACUGGGCGUAAAGGGUGCGUAGGCGGUUGUUUAAGUUUGGUGUGAAAUCUCCCGGCUCAACUGGGAGGGUGCGCCGAAUACUGAAUGACUAGAGUGCGGGAGAGGAUAGUGGAAUUCCUGGUGUAGCGGUGAAAUGCGUAGAUAUCAGGAGGAACACCGGUGGCGAAGGCGGUUCUCUGGACCGUAACUGACGCUGAGACACGAAAGCGUGGGUAGCAAACAGG
rnacentral:rRNA from 1 species